rnacentral:lncRNA from 8 species
AUGACUUCACCCUGCUGUCUCCACCUCCCUACGUCACACUCCUCCUCUCCUCCACCCCUCUCCAUCACACUCCUCCUCUCCUCCACAUCACACUCUUCCUCUUCUACACCCCUCCACAUCACACUCCUCCUCUCCUCCACCCCUCUCCAUCACACUCCUCCUCUCCUCCACAUCACACUCUUCCCCUUCUACACCCCUCCACAUCACACUCCCCCUCUCCUCCACAUCACACUCCUCCUCUCCUCCGCCCCUCUCCAUCACACUCUUCCUCUUCUACACCCCUCCACAUCACACUCCCCCUCUGCUCCACAUCACACUCCUCCUCUCCUCCACCCCUCUCCAUCACACUCCUCCUCUCCUCCACAUCACACUCUUCCUCUUCUACACCCCUCCACAUCACACUCCUCCUCUCCUCCACCCCUCUCCAUCACACUCCUCCUCUCCUCCACAUCACACUCUUCCCCUUCUACACCCCUCCACAUCACACUCCCCCUCUCCUCCACAUCACACUCCUCCUCUCCUCCGCCCCUCUCCAUCACACUCUUCCUCUUCUACACCCCUCCACAUCACACUCCCCCUCUGCUCCACAUCACACUCCUCCUCUCCUCCACCCCUCUCCAUCACACUCCUCCUCUCCUCCACAUCACACUCUUCCUCUUCUACACCCCUCCACAUCACACUCCCCCUCUCCUCCACAUCACACUCCUACUCUCCUCCAUCACACUCCUCCUCUCCUCCACAUCACACUCCCCCUCUUCUACACCCCCACAUCACACUCCCCCUCUCCAUCACACUCCUCCUCUCCUCCACAUCACACUCCUACUCUCCUCCAUCACACUCCUCCUCUCCUCCACAUCACACUUCUCCUCUUUUACACCCCUCCACAUCACACUCCUCCUCUCCUCCACUUCUCUCCAUCACACUCCUCCUCAUCACUCUCCUCCACAUCACACUCCUACUCUCCUCCAUCACACUCCUCCUCUCCUCCACAUCACACUUCUUCUCUUUUACACCCCUCCACAUCACACUACCUCCUCUCCUCCACUUCUCUCCAUCACACUCCUCCUCAUCACACUCCUCCUCUCCUCCACAUCACACUCCUCCUCUCCACUUCUCUCCAUCACACUCCUCCUCUUCCACACCCCUCUACAUCACACUCCUCCUCUUCUACACCCCUCUACAUCACACUCCUCCUCUCCUCCAUUCCACAACUCCCUCACUCCUCCGUUCCUACACCACUCCACAACUCCCCUUCACCCAUUCCUCUUUCACUCCCCUCCUCCUCUCCUCCACCCCUCUACUCCUCCACUACUCCCCUCAUCUCUUCUCUUCUCUUCUCUUCUCUUCUCAGGAAGGAGGAGAAUAGAGACAGCAGCAGAUGAGAGACCUGGGGCCGUGGGGUGAGACAGGGAUGCAGCUUAAGCCACACCAUCUUCAACAUAUAUAUCAGUGAAUUGGCGAGGGCACUAGAACAGUCUGCAGCACCCGGCCUCACCCUACUAGAAUCUGAAGUCAAAUUCUACUGUCUGCUGAUGAUCCGGUGCUUCUGUCCCCAACCAAGGAGGGCCUACAGCAGCACCUAGUUAUUCUGCACAGAUUCUCUCAGACCUGGGCCCUGACAGUAAAUCUCAAUAAGUCAAAAAUAAUGGUGUUCCAAAAAAGGUCCAGUUGCCAGGACCACAAAUACAAAUUCCGUCUAGACACCGUUGCCCUAGAGAAAAAAACUACACGUACCUCGGCCUGAACAUCAGCGCCACCGGUAACUUCCACAAAGCUGUGAACCAUCUGAGAGACAAGAGAAGAAGGGCCUUCUAUGCCAUCAAAAGGAACAAAAUUUGAAUCUGGCUAAAAAUAGCCAUCACCUACAGACAGAUGAACCUGGAGAAGAGUCAGCAGGCUGGUCCUGGGGCUCUUUUCACAAACACAAACAUAUCCAACAGAGCCCCAGGACAGCAACACAAUUAGACCCAACAAAAUCAUGACAAAUUAAAAAGAUAAUUACUUGACACAUUGGAAAGAAUUAACAAAAAACUGAGCCACAAAAAACUGAGCCAAAGCAGCAAUUAUUUAUUUUCCCUUUUGUACUUCAACUAUUUGCACAUAAUGACAUUUGAAAUGUUUUAUUUCUUUUGGAACUUUUGUGAGUGUAAUGUACAUUCUUUUAUUGUUUAUUUCACAUUUGUUUAUCUUUUUCACUUGCUUUUUCAAUGUAAACAUAUGUUUCUCAUGCCAAUAAAGCCCUUAAAUUGAAAUUGAAUUGAGAUAGAGAGGGGGAAGGGGAGUGAGGAGAGAGAGAGAGAGGAAUUAGAGAAGAUAAUACUGUUUUCUUUGGAAAACCUUUCCAUCUGAGAAAGUCAAUCAGAGUUACCUGGUCUAAAACAACUGUUACUCUUAAGAGAAGAACAUUUAAAUGGCAUGCUGUUUUCAGAAGAGAGACCGUUAACAUUCUUCCUAAACGUUUUCAACACAAUAGCCUGUAAUAUCCUUUCAAUUCUUGAUAGUGGAUCCACAUGAAGACUUUGCAGAGCCUCUACCUCCCCCCUCCUCCUUCCUCCAUGCUUGUGCCCGCUUGGAGUUUGCCAAAAGGCAUCUGAAGUCUCUCAGACCAUGAGAAACAGGAUUCUCUGGUCUGAUGAAACCAAGAUUGAACUCUUUGGCCUGAAUGCCAAACGUCAUCUGGAGGAAUCCUGUCACAUCCCUACAGUGAAUAUUGGUGGUGGCAGAGUCAUGCUGAGGCAAUGUUUUUCAGCGGCAGGGACUGGGAAACUAGUCAGGAUCGAGGGGAAGAUGAACGGAGCAAAGUACAGAGAGAUCCUUGAUGAAAACCUGCUCCAGAGCGCUCAGGACCUCAGACUGGGGCGAAGGUUCAUCUUCCAACAGGAUAACGACCCUAAGCACACAGCCAAGACAACGCAGGAGUGGCUUCAGGACAAGUCUCUGAAUUUCCUUGAGUGGCCCAGCUGUAGUCCGGACUUGAACCUGAUAGAACAUCUCUGGAGAGACCUGAAAAUAGCUGUGCAGCAACGCUCCCCACCCAACCUGACAGAGCUUGAGAGGAUCUGUAGAGCAGAAUGGGAGAAACUCCCCAAAUACAGGUGUGCCAAGCUUGUAGCGUCAUACCCAAGAAGACUUGAGGCUGUUAUUGCUGCCAAAGGUGCUGAGAAAGUACUGAGUAAAGGGUCUGAAUACUAAU